rnacentral:rRNA from 1 species
AUAUCAAUAAGGCGAGGAACAGAAACCAACAGGGAUUCCCCCAGUAGUGGCGAAUGAAGCGGGAAAAGCUCAAGUUUGAAAUCUGAUGCAUGUCAGAGUUGUAAGCUGAAGAGGUUUCGACCGAUGGUGCUCGGGCUCAAUUCCCUUGGGAUAGGGAGUCGUGGAGGGUGAGAACCCCGUUCAUGACCUAGAGUGGCGUACUGCGAGAUGCACUUUCUAAGAGUCAGGUUGUUUGGGAAUGCAGCCUUAAAUGGGUGGUAAAUUUCAUCUAAGGCUAAAUAUAGGCGAGAGACCGAUAGCGCACAAGUA